rnacentral:rRNA from 1 species
AUUGAACGCUGGCGGCAGGCCUAACACAUGCAAGUCGAACGAGUGGCGGACGGGUGAGUAAUGUCUGGGAAACUGCCUGAUGGAGGGGGAUAACUACUGGAAACGGUAGCUAAUACCGCAUACCAUCGGAUGUGCCCAGAUGGGAUUAGCUAGUAGGUGGGGUAAAGGCACACCUAGGCGACGAUCCCUAGCUGGUCUGAGAGGAUGACCAGCCACACUGGAACUGAGACACGGUCCAGACUCCUACGGGAGGCAGCAUGGGUGAAUAUUGGACAAUGGGCGCAAGCCUGACGCAGCCAGGCCGCGUGUAUGAAGAAGGCCUUCGGGUUGUAAAGUACUUUCAUCGGGGAGGCGUUACCCGCAGAAGAAGCACCGGCUAACUCCGUGCCAGCAGCCGCGGUAAUAC